AGUAUUGCGCGGGCUGUACUCGUAAUAUUUUAUAGCUUAAUACUUGUAAUUACUACAGGGCGAGAGAGGGGACGGGGGAAGGCAGCGGGAGGAGGAUGCGCCCGCGGCCUAAGAUUCGUGUUCGUCGACCAGCAGCGUGACACGCGUCAACAUUUGUUAUUAUAAUGUAUUUUAAAAGUAAUUAAAUAAAAGUAUCAAAAUUC